ACACAGCGCAUGGCAUAUUAUAAAACGGCUUGUGUUGGCUAAUCGCUCACACCUGGUGUUGAAGAAGGUUCCUUUAAAAUAUUUUUAAAGAGGGGUGGGUAUAAUGGGAGACAGAAUUCUGUAUACUAAAACCAGCCUGACCUGAUUUUUAUUUUGAAUAGGGAGAGAAAGGGGCGUGGCGCUCAGCAUCCACUUAGAGGAAAGUGUAGGGAGGCUCAGCUGGCUGGCUGUUGGAGUGGGAGGGGUUCUGGGAGUGUCCAAACUGUCCACGUGAAGAUUCUCCUGAACAAAGAGACAGACCUGAAGGCAACCACAGGACUAAACCACGUAAUUUAAUAUCCCAGACAUCAGAGACGUCACAGUCCACAGCGAAAUACCAAAUCAAAAACAAUGGGCAAGGGUGAAGGUGAAAUGUGGGACGAUGGUGACCUGGCCCCGAGGCAAACUCAACCCCCGAGCUACGAGGACACGAUGAGGACGGACACAGCACCGAAGCCCAAGGGCAGCAGCUGCCCCACGUGUUGCCUAAAGACCCGGGACUGCCUGAUGAGCGCAGAGUGUGGACGGUGCCUCCAGAUCUCCAGCGUGGUGGCCAUGUGUGGAAUGUGCCUCCGGAUUUUUAUAUAAUCGAAUCUUGGAUGCAAUGGCACGGAUGUUUUGAGCAGGGAGUGAGAGGAAUUAAUUCUCGGUUGGAUCAACAAGAUUUCCCACAUAUUAUGUAACUUCCUUGCAGGCUCGGUGCCACGGGGGGGGGGGGCGUGACGACAAGACGACCAUCCCCGCCCCCUUAGUGAAAAUGAAUAGAUGUUAUGUUUAAAAUAAUUUAUUUUUACACAACUACGUUCCUACAACUAAGUUCCUAAGUAACAGUUUAGUCUACAUUUGCAAAUCAAAUUAAUUUGUUGUUUGGGUUGCUAGAAGUUCAAAAAGGUGUUUUCUGUGUGGAGGAAUUAACACUCUCGCAAUCAUACUGUCAUUGUGAGCAAGCAGAAGCACUAGUCUAGCUGUCUCAUUUAGUCGUACAUCCAUUUUGCACUACAAAAUGGAUGUACGAAAAUGGAUAACAAAGUGAUUUCAAAUGGAUCUAGUACUGAUUCAACGUAAGGGAUAUAUACUUCUUUACUGUUGUGCUGGCAAAGAAGCAGUGACUUUCAAUGGGCUUUGCUUAGCUCUAUUUCAGCAAUAUCUUUACUAUUGCCAUUGCAGAUUUAACCUUGGUUUUGUGGCAAUGUUCUGCAACUAUGAUAAAGUUAUCAUUGAGGUUCAUAUAGCAUUGGGUUUUGUCGAUUGUUGCGUAUUGGCGGCGCACUGUGUGCGUGCGUUGGUUAUGAUAGAUAUUUUGUCGGCGUACAACUGUAGGUGUUGGGUGUUUGGCAACACCCCCUCUCCGUAUUGCGUCGCCCCCUGACUGGCGCCCAGGUCUGCUUCCCUGUAAUAAUUAAGAUGUAAUUAAUGCAAGGUUGAUCAUGUAAUUAAUUGCAUGUAGUUAAAAGAUAAAAAAGGAACUGUACAAUAAAGGUUGAUUAAAGCACCUGAUAUUUAUGGUUUAUUACUUACUUAAUCGUAUUAAUUUUGACAUUUUACAUUUUUGAGCCAAUUGAGAUGGACAUUUUAUAACUAGUUUGGCUCAGAAUUGUACCUCAACAUGACUAAAUUAGUAUGAAAGCGGGUGUUGUUGAACUAGGGCUUAUCUCACCUGUCUUCUGGAGUGUGUGUGUGUGUGUGUGUGUGUGUGUGUGUGUGUGUGUGUGUGUGUGUGUGUGUGUGUGUGUGUGUCGCGGGGGGGGGGCUUCCACACCAUGUUGAAGAGAAUACAAAUAGGUUGGAAGAAAAUACAACCAAAUAUUCACUUGAUCAUUACAGAAACGUUUCCCUGCUGCAAACAUCUGUCACGUUUGUUGUUAAUUUGGCGACCCUACUUUAUACUGCCCCUGUGCUGUUGCUCAAUCUGAUUCUCAAGGAAUUCGAUGCUGAAGAAGAAUUGUGGAGCUACAGAAAAGCAGGCCGUGAUUUUUGUCGCAAACAGAUGCGGCCGAAAUGAGGGCUGGAGUUUUACUAUUUUCUUGCUCUUGUGACAACUUCUUUCCCUCUUGCUUCAUGUUUAAGUCUUCUCCCUUUGGCUGCUAUGGGCUCCUUUAGGUCCUCAGAUCUCCUCCCGACUCAUACCACAGGCUGCCUAGGAUAAUGGGAGAUGCUCAAAUUGGCCAUUUGUGCACACUAUCGGGGAACGUGCUUCUGUUACUGUAUCUCCUUUACAAACUGACUUUGUAGUUCGCUUUAAUUUGACAACCCUACUGGAUUGUUUCCCUUUUAUGACCAUCUAUCAUUAUAAUCUAGGUCCUUUUCAUUGGUUCAAAGGAAUAAUUGGAUUUGGUGAGCGUGUGUGUGUGUGUGUGGUCAUAGGAAUUGUGUCUAGCACAUUCAAGAUGACCAAGUCAUUUGGUUUGGAAUAUCAACACUUCUAACUCUCUAAAACUAUGCAGAAAUGAUGUUGUAAGCAGCUGCAUAAACCAAGAGACAGAUAAG
ensembl:lncRNA